rnacentral:tRNA from 1 species
AGAAAAGUGGCUGAGUGGCUUAUAGCGUAGCUUUGCUAAAGCUUUAUACAGAAGUAUCUGUAUCGUGGGUUCGAAUCCCACCUUUUCUA